ensembl:lncRNA
GUGCAACUAAAACACAGGGCAUGUUUGUAAGCAAGAUUCUUGGUGUCAGUUUUUCUCUGAUAUGUUAUACACAAGGAUUACAGCUUGUCAUUUCACAAGAGUCAACGAUGAGACAAGAACAAAAUUACAAGGAAGUGCUUGCUAGAAAAGAAGACUAACUAGCAAAACAAGUGUUGCUCCUUCCAGAACUAGACAGGUAUGUUUUCUUUUACAAGACGAUUUGUAUUUUAUAUUAUUAGACAGUUUAGCACAUCAAAACAUAGGCUACAGUAGAUUUCAGUAUUUGAUUCCUGCAUAGUUUGAUGUUAUUUUUGUUUCUUUUAUAUUUUCAGAUGCCUCAUUAUUUCAACAGUCAUAAAACUGGAACAUUGUCUGCAAGAAGAAACUGCAAAAGAAGUUCAACAACCCUGACAGCAAAAAAAAAAGAAAAAGAAAAAAGAAAAGAAAAGAAAAUGCAGAGAUGCAUUUGCAGGACCAGUGGCUCGCGCGUCAGUGACAUUAACAACCUGAGAAUCAUGCAGACGCUGAACGACGCCACGUUUGAACUGGAGGAGCGAGACAACUUUCUUAUUUCUUAACAAUCAUCUGUACUAUAUAAUUUGUGAUUGAUAUUAUACAGUAUGAAACAAAAGUGAAAAAACGUCAAUUUUAAAUGUUCUAAACAGUUUUGUGAUUUAUUUCUUUAAUUUAAUUGUUAUCUUCCGAAUCUUUAUCUAAUAGGCCUCUUAUCAGCUGUUUUUAUUCCCAUCUAUCUUUUAUCUCAUAUGAACUGAAUAUUUGUUUCAUACAACUGAACUUCCCUAGAGUCUGUAAAAAAACAAACAAUAACGGAUUAUUUUGUAGAAGAAAUUUACUGAGCAAAUAUAGAUUUUUUUUUGGUUAAUUUUAAUUAAAUUCUAUUUACUUUUCAGUGUGAACAUUUCUAACAAGAAAUAAGUAAAUAUUGGAUAGCAAAUAUUUUAUUUUAUUUUUGCAGUGUGAAACUACCUUCUGCAUUUUCUACUGCAGAUCCUUUCAGCUCUUGCUGAAGUAUUAGGAUGAUUAAAACCUUUCUAGCAUGUCUGUUAUCAUAUUCUAUCAGUGGAAAAACACCAUAACUAUUUUUAACAAAAGUGCUGCCAACAGUUCAAACCGGUUCUCACAAAGAUAAACACGGUUUUCUUCUGCGACUGUUUCUGUUUGAGAUCUCAGAGCCUGAGGAGAAAGUUCCCAGAAGGUCAGGAACAGCCACAAAUAUUAUACUUAAUUAAUUAUAAUACUGGUAUUUAUAAAAGUGGCGUUUGCUAAGAUGAGCAUCAUUGUUGUGAUCAAACUUGUAGAUUUAAACUAAUUAAAUGCAUCCUUCAGCAUUUUUGUUUCAGACAUAUAUGCUUUGACAAUAAUGCUGCAUAUGAUAUUUCAUGACAGUACGCAGCACAUAUCAGAUCCUCUCACAGAUAUACUGUUUCUCAUUGUGCAAUUUCUGUUGUUUGCAAUGCCACAUUUUCACAGGCUGCUAUUGUUAUGAAAGAGGUGUGUUUCCAUCAUUAUUCUGCAAACCUCUCCCUCUUUGUACUAUUUAACCUGUUUGUUCAGUCA